UAGGUGUGUGUGAUGUCUCGUCUCAGCUAUGCUCGAUAUGCGAUCGAGCGAUGAGCAAUCCGGUGAGAUUCCGGAGCGGUCCCGCCACUGUGAGACACCCCCAUGCGGUGCAGCCAGACGCUCUGCCCGAUUCCUGCCGAACAG
rnacentral:ncRNA from 2 species